GAUGAAGAACGUAGCGAAAUGCGAUAAGUAGUGUGAAUUGCAGACUUUAGUGAAUCAUCGAAUCUUUGAACGCACAUUGCGCCCCUUGGUAUUCCAUUGGGCUUGCCUGUUCGAGCGUCAUUUACACCCUCAAGCCUAGCUUGGUGUUGGGCGUUGUCCGCAAGGACUCGCCUCAAAUUCAUUGGCAGCGGCAUCGUCAGCUUCUCGCGCAGCACAUUGCGCUUCAGAAGGCUUCUGGCGGGCUCGCGUCCACUAAGAUACCACCCAGUUUGACCUCGAAUCAGGUAGGGAUACCCGCUGAACUUAAGCAUAUCAAUAAGCGGAGGA
rnacentral:misc_RNA from 1 species